AGUGAACGCUGGCGGUAGGCCUAACACAUGCAAGUCGAACGGCAGCACAGUAAGAGCUUGCUCUUACGGGUGGCGAGUGGCGGACGGGUGAGGAAUACAUCGGAAUCUACUUUUUCGUGGGGGAUAACGUAGGGAAACUUAUGCUAAUACCGCAUACGACCUACGGGUGAAAGCAGGGGAUCUUCGGACCUUGCGCGAUUGAAUGAGCCGAUGUCGGAUUAGCUAGUUGGCGGGGUAAAGGCCCACCAAGGCGACGAUCCGUAGCUGGUCUGAGAGGAUGAUCAGCCACACUGGAACUGAGACACGGUCCAGACUCCUACGGGAGGAAGCAGUGGGGAAUAUUGGACGAUGGGGGAAAGCCUGAUCCAGCAAUACCGCGUGAGUGAAGAAGGCCUUCGGGUUGUAAAGCCCUUUUGUUGGGAGAGAAAAGCAGCAGGUUAAUACCCCACUGUUCUGACGGUACCGAAAGAAUAAGCACCGGCUAACUUCGUG
rnacentral:rRNA from 1 species